rnacentral:sRNA from 1 species
CUCUAGCCCUGAUGGAAGGGAAAAUCCUUUUUAUUUUUUUUCAAAAAUAAAAAGAUUGGAAUGACAGCAGGAACUUUG